CCCUUAGAUGUCCUGGGCUGCACGCGCGCUACACUGAUGUGUCCAGUAAGCACCUAACCUCUUCCGAAAGGAACGGGUAACCUUUGCAAAGCACAUCGUGAUGGGGAUAGAUUAUUGCAAUUAUUAGUCUUGAACGAGGAAUUCCUAGUAAGCACAAGUCAUCAGCUUGUGUUGAUUACGUCCCUGCCCUUUGUACACACCGCCCGUCGCACCUACCGAUUGAAUGGUCCGGUGAAAUCUUCGGAUUGAGACUUUGUUUUCUUCACGGAAAACGCUGUUUUAAAAAGUUGAUUAAACCUUACCAUUUAGAGGAAGGUGAAGUCGUAACA
rnacentral:rRNA from 1 species